GAUGAACGCUGGCGGCGUGCCUAAUACAUGCAAGUCGAGCGAACAGACGAGGAGCUUGCUCCUCUGACGUUAGCGGCGGACGGGUGAAUAACACGUGGAUAACCUACCUAUAUUACUGGUAUAACUUCGGAAAAGCGGAGCUAAUACCGGAGAAUAUAUUGAACCGCGUGGGUCAUUAGUAAAAGACGGUUUUGCUGUCACUUAUAGAUGGUUCCGGGCCGCAUUAGGUGGUUGGUGAGGUAACGGCUUAUCACGGCGACGAUGCGUAGCCGAACUGAUAGGGUGGUAGGCCACACGGGAGCUGAGACGGGGUCAUGACGCCUGAGAGAGGGCGCAGUCGGGAAUGGGACGCAGUGGGCGGAAGCCUGACACAGUGACGCCGCGUGAGUGAUGGAGACGUUCGGUGCGGGAAACUCUGUUUCUAGGGAAGAACCACUGUGGAAGUAAACAUGGAGUGCUUGACGGUAACUGGUCAGGAAGCACCGGCUAACUACGUG
rnacentral:rRNA from 1 species